rnacentral:lncRNA from 1 species
GCCGAUUUUAACUUUCCCGAUAAAUUAUUCAAAAUAAGUCCAAAUACCGUGUGUUGUCUCCCGUUUUAAGUUGUGUAAGUAAGUGUCUGAGUGCUUUAUCUUUUUUAAUUUUUUUCGGCUAAUUUUCAUAACAAUUUACACGUAACGUUCUAUACAUUUUGUUACAAAACGUCAAAAUCGUAUGCGGGGACAUUGUAUCGGACAUUAUUAUUUAAUCUGAUAUCUGAUAUUUUAGAUUAGAUCU